AAGCAAACACUUACUUUUCUGUUUUCGGUGACGGAUGUUAAGUGAACUGGUGGUGUCAUUGCGCAGGCUGUGUGCAUCCAGUCCCUGUGCUGACUUCUUAAACUUACACGGCGCCCACUCAGCCUGCCUCAGCUGCUGGAGCAGCGAAUAGCCGUGCAGAGGCCUUUCCGGCUGUCCCCCGCCUCAGAGAGAACUCACUCCUCCUGGUACUAGCGGUCCUCUCCACAGUCUGACUUGGUGAAGAGCAGGAGGAGGGGACACGAGUUUCACAAUUCUUCACUCAGCGACUGUGCACCGAGCACUCACCCUGUGCCAGGUGCUCAGAACUCCACGCAGGAGAUCUUUGAAGAGCUACAUGAUGGGUUCGACUUCUCUCCCUCCCUAGUCAAGGGGCAGGAGCAGCAGGCCGCCAGCAGCAUCCUGUGCCGGUCUGAGAACUCCACUCAGGAGAUGUUUGAAGAGUUAUGUGUUGGGUUCGACUUCUCUCCCCUCCCUAGUCAAGGGGCAGGAGCAGCAGGCCACCAGCAGCAUCCUGUGCCGG
rnacentral:lncRNA from 1 species